rnacentral:rRNA from 1 species
UACGGAGGGUGCAAGCGUUAAUCGGAAUUACUGGGCGUAAAGCGCACGCAGGUGGCUGAGUCAGUCGAUUGUGAAAGCCCUGGGCUUAACCUGGGAAUUGCAGUCGAUACUACUCAGCUAGAGUAUGGGAGAGGGCAGUGGAAUUCCCGGUGUAGCGGUGAAAUGCGUAGAUAUCGGGAGGAACAUCAGUGGCGAAGGCGAGUCCCUGGAAAAUUCCUGACACUGAGGCACGAAAGCUAGGGGAGCAAACAGG